CCAAAGCAUUAGAGUUAUUUUAAAAUCAAAAACUUUAGCCCGCGCCGCUUCAGCUUCCUUUCAGAGAUUGAACAGUUCUGCCACAUCUGAUACAAAAACUCUAAAUGUGAAACACGCAUCUAAGAGCAUGACGAGUGUUCUUAAAGAUAAAGAAAUUUACGUGAUUCCGCUUGACGUCCUCCAAGAUGCAAACCAUAAGGAUUUCAAGGAUAAUGAGAAUAAAUCAAAUAGAAAAGAAAGAAAAAAA